rnacentral:rRNA from 1 species
UACAGAGGGUGCAAGCGUUGUUCGGAAUUACUGGGCGUAAAGCGCGUGUAGGCUGCGGAGUAAGUCGGAUGUGAAAUCCCUUGGCUUAACCAAGGAAGUGCAUCCGAUACUGUUUCGCUUGAGUGUCGGAGGGAAUGGCGGAAUUCCCGGUGUAGAGGUGAAAUUCGUAGAUAUCGGGAGGAACACCUGUGGCGAAGGCGGCCAUCUGGACGACAACUGACGCUGAGACGCGAAAGCGUGGGUAGCAAACAGG